rnacentral:rRNA from 1 species
AGUGAACGCUGGCGGUAGGCCUAACACAUGCAAGUCGAACGGCAGCACAGUAAGAGCUGGCUCUUACGGGUGGCGAGUGGCGGACGGGUGAGGAAUACAUCGGAAUCUACUUUUUCGUGGGGGAUAACGUAGGUAAACUUACGCUAAUACCGCAUACGACCUACGGGUGAAAGCAGGGGAUCUUCGGACCUUGCGCGAUUGAAUGAGCCGAUGUCGGAUUAGCUAGUUGGCGGGGUAAAGGCCCACCAAGGCGACGAUCCGUAGCUGGUCUGAGAGGAUGAUCAGCCACACUGGAACUGAGACACGGUCCAGACUCCUACGGGAGGCAGCAGUGGGGAAUAUUGGACAAAGGGCGCAAGCCUGAUCCAGCCAUACCGCGUGGGUGAAGAAGGCCUUCGGGUUGUAAAGCCCUUUUGUUGGGAAAGAAAAGCAGCAGGUUAAUACCCCGCUGUUCUGACGGUACCCAAAGAAUAAGCACCGGCUAACUUCGUG